rnacentral:rRNA from 1 species
GGCUAACGCUGGCGGCGCGCCUAACACAUGCAAGUCGAACGAACCCUUCGGGGUUAGUGGCAGACGGGUGAGUAACGCGUGGAUAAUGUGCCUCUUUGCUGGGGAUACCGUUCCGAAAGGAACGUUAAUACCGAAUGUGCUUGUUUGGCGGCAUCGUCGAGCAAGUAAACUGUUAGGGUGAAGAGAGCAGUCCGCGUUCUAUCAGCUAGUUGGUGAGGUAACGGCUCACCAAGGCUACGACGGAUAACUGGUCUGAGAGGAUGAUCAGUCACACUGGAACUGAGACACGGCCCAGACUCCUACGGGAGGCAGCAGUGAGGAAUCUUGCACAAUGGGCGAAAGCCUGAUGCAGCGACGCCGCGUGAGGGAUGAAGGCCUUCGGGUUGUAAACCUCUGUCAGUAGGGAAGAAGAAUGACGGUACCUACUGAGGAAGCUUCGGCUAACUACGUG